GAGUUUGAUCGUGGCUCAGAUUGAACGCUGGCGGCAUGCCUUACACAUGCAAGUCGAACGGUAACAGGUCUUCGGACGCUGACGAGUGGCGAACGGGUGAGUAAUACAUCGGAACGUGCCCAGUCGUGGGGGAUAACUACUCGAAAGAGUAGCUAAUACCGCAUACGAUCUGAGGAUGAAAGCGGGGGACCUUCGGGCCUCGCGCGAUUGGAGCGGCCGAUGGCAGAUUAGGUAGUUGGUGGGAUAAAAGCUUACCAAGCCGACGAUCUGUAGCUGGUCUGAGAGGACGACCAGCCACACUGGGACUGAGACACGGCCCAGACUCCUACGGGAGGCAGCAGUGGGGAAUUUUGGACAAUGGGCGAAAGCCUGAUCCAGCAAUGCCGCGUGCAGGAUGAAGGCCUUC
rnacentral:rRNA from 1 species